rnacentral:rRNA from 1 species
AGGACUAACGCUGGCGGCGUGCCUAACACAUGCAAGUCGAACGAGGGGUAGCAAUACCCCUAGUGGCAGACGGGUGAGUAACACGUAGUCAACCUACCUCUUAAUGGGGGAUAACUAGCCGAAAGGUUAGCUAAUACCGCAUACGAUCGUCGAGUGGCAUCACACGACGAUGAAAGGAGCAAUCCGUUGAGAGAGGGGACUGCGUCCCAUUAGUUAGUUGGUGGGGUAAUGGCCUACCAAGACUCCGAUGGGUAGCUGGCUUGAGAGAGCGACCAGCCACACUGGAACUGAGACACGGUCCAGACUCCUACGGGAGGCAGCAGUGAGGAAUUUUCCGCAAUGGGGGAAACCCUGACGGAGCGACGCCGCGUGUGGGAAGAAGGGCCUUCGGGUCGUAAACCACUGUCGAGGGGGACGAUAUUGACGGUACCCCUGGAGGAAGCCCCGGCUAACUACGUGCCAGCAGCCGC